rnacentral:rRNA from 1 species
GUGGGGAAUUUUGCGCAAUGGGGGAAACCCUGACGCAGCAACGCCGCGUGAGUGAUGAAGGCCUUCGGGUCGUAAAGCUCUGUCAGAGGGGAAGAAAUGCAGGGGUGCUAAUAUCAUCUUUGCUUGACGGUACCCUCAAAGGAAGCACCGGCUAACUCCGUGCCAGCAGCCGCGGUAAUACGGAGGGUGCGAGCGUUGUUCGGAAUUAUUGGGCGUAAAGCGCGUGUAGGCGGUUUGGUAAGUCUGAUGUGAAAGCCCCGGGCUCAACCUGGGAAGUGCAUUGGAAACUGUGAGACUUGAAUACGGGAGAGGGUAGGGGAAUUCCUAGUGUAGGAGUGAAAGCCGUAGAUAUUAGGAGGAACACCGGUGGCGAAGGCGGCUACCUGGACCGAUAUUGACGCUGAGACGCGAAAGCGUGGGGAGCAAACAGGAUUAGAUACCCUAGUAGUCC